CCUACGGGUGGCAGCAGUGAGGAAUAUUGGUCAAUGGUCGGGAGACUGAACCAGCCAAGCCGCGUGAGGGAUGAAGGUACAGAGUAUCGUAAACCUCUUUUGUCAGGGAACAAAGGCGGGGACGUGUCCCCGGUUGAGUGUACCUGAAGAAAAAGCAUCGGCUAACUCCGUGCCAACAGCCGCGGUAAUACGGAGGAUGCGAGCGUUAUCCGGAUUUAUUGGGUUUAAGGGGUGCGAGGGCGGGCUUUUAAGUCAGCGGUCAAAGCCUGGGGCUCAACCCCGGCCCGCCGUUGAAACUGGCAGUCUCGAGUUGGAUAGAGGUAGGCGGAAUGCGCGGUGUAGCGGUGAAAUGCAUAGAUAUCGCGCAGAACUCCGAUUGCGAAGGCAGCAUGCCGGCUCCACACUGACGCUGAGGCACGAAAGCGUGGGUAUCGAACAGGAUUAGAUACCCCAGUAGUC
rnacentral:rRNA from 1 species